AUUGAACGCUGGCGGCAGGCUUAACACAUGCAAGUCGAGCGGAGAUGAGGUGCUUGCACCUUAUCUUAGCGGCGGACGGGUGAGUAAUGCUUAGGAAUCUGCCUAUUAGUGGGGGACAACAUUCCGAAAGGAAUGCUAAUACCGCAUACGUCCUACGGGAGAAAGCAGGGGAUCUUCGGACCUUGCGCUAAUAGAUGAGCCUAAGUCGGAUUAGCUAGUUGGUGGGGUAAAGGCCUACCAAGGAGACGAUCUGUAGCGGGUCUGAGAAGAUGAUCCGCCACACUGGGACUGAGACACGGCCCAGACUCCUACGGGAGGCAGCAGUGGGGAAUAUUGGACAAUGGGGGGAACCCUGAUCCAGCCAUGCCGCGUGUGUGAAGAAGGCCUUAUGGUUGUAAAGCACUUUAAGCGAGGAGGAGGCUACUGAGACUAAUACUCUUGGAUAGUGGACGUUACUCGCAGAAUAAGCACCGGCUAACUCUGUGCCAGCCGCCGCUGUAAGAC
rnacentral:rRNA from 1 species